rnacentral:tRNA from 5 species
GGUCUUAUGGUCUAGUGGUUAUGACUGUGGAUUUUGAUUCCAUCGACCCCGGUUCGAACCCGGGUAAGACCU